rfam:Anopheles melas strain CM1001059_A cont2.138, whole genome shotgun sequence.
UCUACUUACUUGCUCUGCAAUGGGAUGGGAUCCGAAGCCCCUUGAGCGAUAAUAUAGACUCUCCCAUCCAACACCUUUUCCGACAUGUCCACGUCGAGUAGAGUGGUAACAUGAGCGACCGCAUAUCCAAAAUUUUACAC